rnacentral:rRNA from 1 species
GACGAAAAAUGAAUACCAAGUCUCAAGAGUGAACACGUAAUUCAUUACGAAGUUUAAUUCAUUGAGCAUCAAACUUUUAAAUUGAAGAGUUUGAUCAUGGCUCAGAUUGAACGCUGGCGGCAGGCCUAACACAUGCAAGUCGAACGGUAACAGGAAGCAGCUUGCUGCUUUGCUGACGAGUGGCGGACGGGUGAGUAAUGUCUGGGAAACUGCCUGAUGGAGGGGGAUAACUACUGGAAACGGUGGCUAAUACCGCAUAACGUCGCAAGACCAAAGAGGGGGACCUUCGGGCCUCUUGCCAUCAGAUGUGCCCAGAUGGGAUUAGCUUGUUGGUGAGGUAACGGCUCACCAAGGCGACGAUCCCUAGCUGGUCUGAGAGGAUGACCAGCCACACUGGAACUGAGACACGGUCCAGACUCCUACGGGAGGCAGCAGUGGGGAAUAUUGCACAAUGGGCGCAAGCCUGAUGCAGCCAUGCCGCGUGUAUGAAGAAGGCCUUCGGGUUGUAAAGUACUUUCAGCGGGGAGGAAGGUGUUGUGGUUAAUAACCGCAGCAAUUGACGUUACCCGCAGAAGAAGCACCGGCUAACUCCGUGCCAGCAGCCGCGGUAAUACGGAGGGUGCAAGCGUUAAUCGGAAUUACUGGGCGUAAAGCGCACGCAGGCGGUCUGUCAAGUCGGAUGUGAAAUCCCCGGGCUCAACCUGGGAACUGCAUUCGAAACUGGCAGGCUUGAGUCUUGUAGAGGGGGGUAGAAUUCCAGGNNNNNNNNNNNNNNNNNNNNAGAAUUCCAGGUGUAGCGGUGAAAUGCGUAGAGAUCUGGAGGAAUACCGGUGGCGAAGGCGGCCCCCUGGACAAAGACUGACGCUCAGGUGCGAAAGCGUGGGGAGCAAACAGGAUUAGAUACCCUGGUAGUCCACGCCGUAAACGAUGUCUACUUGGAGGUUGUGCCCUUGAGGCGUGGCUUCCGGAGCUAACGCGUUAAGUAGACCGCCUGGGGAGUACGGCCGCAAGGUUAAAACUCAAAUGAAUUGACGGGGGCCCGCACAAGCGGUGGAGCAUGUGGUUUAAUUCGAUGCAACGCGAAGAACCUUACCUGGUCUUGACAUCCACGGAAGUUUUCAGAGAUGAGAAUGUGCCUUCGGGAACCGUGAGACAGGUGCUGCAUGGCUGUCGUCAGCUCGUGUUGUGAAAUGUUGGGUUAAGUCCCGCAACGAGCGCAACCCUUAUCCUUUGUUGCCAGCGGUCCGGCCGGGAACUCAAAGGAGACUGCCAGUGAUAAACUGGAGGAAGGUGGGGAUGACGUCAAGUCAUCAUGGCCCUUACGACCAGGGCUACACACGUGCUACAAUGGCGCAUACAAAGAGAAGCGACCUCGCGAGAGCAAGCGGACCUCAUAAAGUGCGUCGUAGUCCGGAUUGGAGUCUGCAACUCGACUCCAUGAAGUCGGAAUCGCUAGUAAUCGUGGAUCAGAAUGCCACGGUGAAUACGUUCCCGGGCCUUGUACACACCGCCCGUCACACCAUGGGAGUGGGUUGCAAAAGAAGUAGGUAGCUUAACCUUCGGGAGGGCGCUUACCACUUUGUGAUUCAUGACUGGGGUGAAGUCGUAACAAGGUAACCGUAGGGGAACCUGCGGUUGGAUCACCUCCUUACCUUAAAGAAGCGUACUUUGCAGUGCUCACACAGAUUGUCUGAUGAAAA